rnacentral:rRNA from 1 species
GACGAACCGUGCAAACGUUGUUCGGAAUCACUGGGCUUAAAGGGCGCGUAGGCGGACCGGAUAGUCUGUGGUGAAAGCCCCCAGCUUUACUGGGGAAGUGCCAUGGAUACUGCCGGUCUGGAGGAGGGUAGGGGCAUCUGGAACGCUGGGUGGAGCGGUGAAAUGCGUUGAUAUCCAGCGGAACUCCGGUGGCGAAGGCGAGGUGCUGGACCCUUUCUGACGCUGAUGCGCGAAAGCCAGGGGAGCAAACGGG